ACGAACGCUGGCGGCGUGCUUAACCCACGCAAGUCGAACGGAAAGGCCCUGCUUUUGUGGGGUGCUCGAGUGGCGAACGGGUGAGUAACACGUGAGUAACCUGCCCUUGACUUUGGGAUAACUUCAGGAAACUGGGGCUAAUACCGGAUAGGAGCUCCUGCUGCAUGGUGGGGGUUGGAAAGUUUCGGCGGUUGGGGAUGGACUCGCGGCUUAUCAGCUUGUUGGUGGGGUAGUGGCUUACCAAGGCUUUGACGGGUAGCCGGCCUGAGAGGGUGACCGGCCACAUUGGGACUGCGAUACGGCCCAGACUCCUACGGGAGGCAGCAGUGGGGAAUAUUGCACAAUGGGCGGAAGCCUGAUGCAGCAACGCCGCGUGCGGGAUGACGGCCUUCGGGUUGUAAACCGCUUUCGCCUGUGACGAAGCGUGAGUGACGGUAAUGGGUAAAGAAGCACCGGCUAACUACGUG
rnacentral:rRNA from 1 species